CCGCCUAAGAGGAAAAACACUCGAGGGACGCGGAAAAACACAAGAUGGCGGUGCUGGCUGACGGCCAAGUCCCAGGCAGAGUCGCCGCCAUUAGACCCCCCCUCCCCUCCGGUGUGCGCUCUGUCGAUUUCUGAAGGGCCCGGCCACGGCUGUGGGGGAGCGGCCGGGAGACCAUCUGAGGAGAUUGCCUAGACGUGAAGAUCACCCUCUCCCAACCCUUAUCAACUUGCUGUGAGGAGAAACCCUUUAUCCCAGACUGGUACUGUGGGCACUCACGGUUUAUCUCUUGGCCCAUAAGGUUUGUGUGUACUCUUCUACUUCGAGAUAAUUGAUAGCCCACCUUCACUUAAUAGGCCAUGUGUUUGUAAAGGCCAGUGUGGCGGCUUCCCAAAGCUUUCCUGUGGUGUCUACACAGCAAUCAGAGGUGUGACUGCCCCAUGAGUAGGCGUACUCAAGAUAUCUUUAGUCUAGGGGCCUGGUCUACACUAGGAAACUAGGUCAGUAUAACUGCAUGUCACUCCGGAGUGUGAAAAAUCCACACCUGGGAGUGACACAGUUAAACUGACCGAACCACCAGUGUAGACAUGCUAGGGAAAAUUCUUUCAUCGGCCUAGCUACCACCUCUGGGAGGAGGUGGAUUACCUAUGCCAACAGGAGAACCCCUCCUGGCUAUGUAGGCAGUGUCUUCACUGAAGCACUGCAGCAUUUUAUGCGUAGACCAGCCCUAACAGGCGUCCCAAUAGCAGUGAAGCUGCAGCAGCACAGUCUUCAGUGCAGACGGUGUAAGCCUAUCAGGGAUGCUUGGUACUAGUUACUGAGACAGCUAGCCUGCACUGAAGCCUAUGCUAUCAUUUCUUCACUGCUAUUGAUACUCCUUCUGGCAACAUUAACUAGUUAGCAUAUGUCUAAAUGAGUAUGAGUUAACUGUGUAGACAUACUCUCAUGCUGUGUCUUUACCAGUAAAAAGGUGUUCCUUUUUACAAUGGAAAAUUCACUUUUUUUUACUAGUGAAAACAGUUGAAGAGGGAGAUGCCCUGUGCUUUUACUCAGCAUAGAGUUUGCUCAUGAAACCUUCAAAGGCUAUGCCUUCACAGCCAAAAAAGGUGUAUUUUACAAUGAGAUAUCUCUUUAAAAUCCUAGUGGAGACAAGGCACAUGCAAUUUUUUACCUCAAUGAAGCGAGAGGCUAAUACUCUUGAUUAACAUAAGAGUGGCCAUAUUGGGUCAGACCAGAGGUCCAUCUAGCCCAGUAUCCUGUCUUCUGACAGUGGCCGAUGCCAGGUGCUACAGAGGGAAUAA